rnacentral:rRNA from 1 species
GAUAGGCUCAGGAUGAACGCUAGCUACAGGCUUAACACAUGCAAGUCGAGGGGCAGCAUUCCAGUUUGCUUGCAAACUGGAGAUGGCGACCGGCGCACGGGUGAGUAACACGUAUCCAACCUGCCGAUAACUCGGGGAUAGCCUUUCGAAAGAAAGAUUAAUACCCGAUGGCAUAAUAGAACCGCAUGGUUUGAUUAUUAAAGAAUUUCGGUUAUCGAUGGGGAUGCGUUCCAUUAGGCAGUUGG